rnacentral:tRNA from 1 species
UAAAAUGGCAGAUAGAUGUAUAGGACUUAAGCUCCUAAUAGGGAAUCUUUAUUCCUUUUAGAAUU